CCAAUUCUUGGCUCGGAUGAUCCGCCCUCCUCAGCCCCCAAAAUGCUGGGAUUAUAGGCAUGCCCAAAGAACAAUACGAGCCCCCUGACCCUCGGAGGAUGUAUACAAUUAUGUCUUCUGAGGAAGCAGCAAAUGGAAAGAAAUCCCAUUGGGCAGAGCUUGAAAUAAGUGAACCACCACCCACACCAAGGAGAUUAUUUGGAGUGGAUCACCACCUAGAGCCUGGACUCUGACAUCUAAGGCUUCCUACUCCCUCAUUUUAUGGCUUAGGUGAGGGACAUGGUUCAGGCAAAACUGAUGUCUCCUUUUGGAUACUGCAGAAGCAGGACCUAAGCAUACCCAUAAAGGUGGCCACACCCAUCAAGAGUUGAUUGGCAGGCUGGAAGACAAUAUUCUCCCAAGGAAGGCACUUUUACCUCUAUAGUGGGGUGGGAAUUGGUUCGCUGGAAGUGUUGUUGUUGGGACAGGGAAGAGUUAUUUCCAUGGAAAAGUUACUUGCAGGUUACAGAGAAAUGAGGGGAGUUUGCCUACACUGGCCAUGUGUGGGGCCAGUGGGGGCUGCAGUAUAUCUUUGCUACUGAAAGGGGAAGGCUGACGUAGGCAUUAAAGCCAAAGAGGCCCUUAGCAAUUAGGCCCAGUACCCCUGCGAUGAUUUUGGAGUGGUUUCCUCUCUCAGCAAGGUCGAUAAUGGAGGUGAUUAGGUAGAGGAUCACUGCUAAGAGGGUUUGGAAGAAAUUACUCCAGGGCCAAUUGAUGAAUGGUAUUUUGGUGUGCAGAUCACACAUGUAGCUGACAAAAUAGCAGCAAGGAUCAUUUCAGCCACCAAUAGGGAGGAAUACUCUGGUGUGGAGGCACUUGAAGCAGAUAAGGAUCACCAGGUACCAUGUAAUCUUAGCAAACCUGGAGGAUUCCCUUUUGGGUGCACAAGAAGUUGGCCUCAGCAGCGGGGGAGCCGAGAGGCACUCCGAAUCCACCAUGGCAUGGGCUGGAGUCCCUGGGGACGCAGAAGAUGUGCUCACUUGUUCAUGGGGUCAAGGACACUGCACACCCAGCCGUCUGGCUAGGAAGGGGGCCCCUGGUGCGGAGGGAGUCACAAGUACAGUUUUCUUACCUGGAUAUAUUGUGUAGUGAUGAAGUCUGUCCUUCUAGUGUACUCAUUGCUCUAAUAGUGAACAUUGUACCCAAAAGGUAACUUUUUCACCUUUUUCGCCCUCCCAUGUUUUGGAGUCUUCAGUGUCUUGUUUUUCCACUGUGUAUGUGCACAUGUACCCAUUGUUUAGCUCCCACUUGUAAGUAAGAACGUCGGUAUUUGACUGUUUCUGAGUUGUUUUGCUUAGGAUAACAGCCUCCAGUUCUCUUCAGGUUGCUGCCCAAGAUGUGCUUUCAUUCUUUUUUAUAGCUGAGUAGUAUUCCUUGAUGUAUAGAUACUCUACAUUUUCUUUAUCCAGUCAUCCAUUUUUGGACACUUACGUUGAUGCUGUAUCUUUGCUAUUGUGAAUAGUGCUACAAUAUACGAGUGCAGGUUAUCUUUUUGAUGUGAUGAUUUCUUUCC